rnacentral:miRNA from 1 species
ACGAGGCGGACUUGCGGCAGAA